AGAGUUUGAUCAUGGCUCAGGAUUAACGCUGGCGGUAUGCCUAACACAUGCAAGUCGAACGGAAUACUAAUUAAGAGAAUCUCACACUAGUGAGAGGUUCUCACGAGUAGUAUUUAGUGGCGGACGGGUGAGUAACACGUUGGAACCUGCCCGAAGUGGGGAAUAACUGCUCGAAAGAGUAGCUAAUACCCCAUAGUAUCCGGGUUUAUCCGGAUUAGAGAUUUAUCGCUUCGGGAGGGGCCUGCGUCUGAUUAGCUAGUUGGUGAGGUAAAAGCUCACCAAGGCGACGAUCAGUAGCUGGUUCGAGAGGAUGACCAGCCACACUGGGACUGAGAUACGGCCCAGACUCCUACGGGAGGCAGCAGUGAGGAAUCUUCCACAAUGGACGAAAGUCUGAUGGAGCAAUACCGCGUGCAGGAAGACGCUUUUCGGAGUGUAAACUGCUUUUGUCGUCGAAGAUUAUGACUGUAGACGAAGAAUAAGGACCGACUAACUACGUG
rnacentral:rRNA from 1 species